rnacentral:rRNA from 1 species
AGCGAACGCUGGCGGCAGGCUUAACACAUGCAAGUCGAGCGGGCAUAGCAAUAUGUCAGCGGCAGACGGGUGAGUAACGCGUGGGAACGUACCUUUUGGUUCGGAACAACACAGGGAAACUUGUGCUAAUACCGGAUAAGCCCUUACGGGGAAAGAUUUAUCGCCGAAAGAUCGGCCCGCGUCUGAUUAGCUAGUUGGUGAGGUAAUGGCUCACCAAGGCGACGAUCAGUAGCUGGUCUGAGAGGAUGAUCAGCCACAUUGGGACUGAGACACGGCCCAAACUCCUACGGGGGGCAGCAGUGGGGAAUAUUGGACAAUGGGCGCAAGCCUGAUCCAGCCAGGCCGCGUGAGUGAUGAAGGCCCUAGGGUUGUAAAGCUCUUUUGUGCGGGAAGAUAAUGACGGUACCGCAAGAAUAAGCCCCGGCUAACUUCGUG